UACACUCCUGCGGGAGGCAGCAGUGGGGAAUUUUGGACAAUGGGCGAAAGCCUGAUCCAGCAAUGCCGCGUGAGUGAAGAAGGCCUUCGGGUUGUAAAGCUCUUUUGUCAGGGAAGAAACGGUGAGAGCUAAUAUCUUUUGCUAAUGACGGUACCUGAAGAAUAAGCACCGGCUAACUACGUGCCAGCAGCCGCGGUAAUACGUAGGGUGCAAGCGUUAAUCGGAAUUACUGGGCGUAAAGCGUGCGCAGGCGGUUUUGUAAGUCUGAUGUGAAAUCCCCGGGCUCAACCUGGGAAUUGCAUUGGAGACUGCAAGGCUAGAAUCUGGCAGAGGGGGGUAGAAUUCCACGUGUAGCAGUGAAAUGCGUAGAUAUGUGGAGGAACACCGAUGGCGAAGGCAGCCCCCUGGGUCAAGAUUGACGCUCAUGCACGAAAGCGUGGGGAGCAAACAGGAUUAGAUACCCCGGUAGUCCCAUGAU
rnacentral:rRNA from 1 species